rnacentral:tRNA from 1 species
AAAAUUAUAGUAAAAGGAAAAUCCGUUGAUUUCAAAAAAUCGUGAGGGUUCA